GGACGACGUCAAGUCCUCAUGGCCCUUACGCCCAGGGCUACAAACGUGCCACAAUGGCCGGUACAGAGGGACGCGACUCCGCGAGGACAAGCAAAUCCCAAAAAGCCGGUCUCAGUUCGGAUUGAAGGCUGCAACUCGCCUUCAUGAAGCUGGAAUCGCUAGUAAUCGCGCAUCAGCAAUGGCGCGGUGAAUACGUUCCCGGACCUUGUACACACCGCCCGUCAAGCCACGAGAGCCGGGAGCGCCCGAAGCCGCUUACCCAACCCUUCAGGGAGGGACGCGUCGACGGCGAGCUCGGUGAUUGGGACUAAGUCGUAACAAGGUAGCCGUAGGAGAACCUGCGGCUGGAUCACCU
rnacentral:rRNA from 1 species